rfam:Gossypium arboreum cultivar AKA8401 contig_18502_1, whole genome shotgun sequence.
UAUUAAAAACUUUAUCCAAUUCUAUUCUUAAAAACUGACAUGAUUGAUAGAAUAACCAAACAGUCACACAUACACCUCGUGCUUACAUACGAAAACCAACUUUUAACAAUAGAAACAGAUAAAAUUUACAAUA